rnacentral:rRNA from 1 species
UGGGGAAUUUUGGACAAUGGGGGAAACCCUGAUCCAGCCAUCCCGCGUGUGCGAUGAAGGCCUUCGGGUUGUAAAGCACUUUUGGCAGGAAAGAAACGUCAUGGGUUAAUACCCCGUGAAACUGACGGUACCUGCAGAAUAAGCACCGGCUAACUACGUGCCAGCAGCCGCGGUAAUACGUAGGGUGCAAGCGUUAAUCGGAAUUACUGGGCGUAAAGCGUGCGCAGGCGGUUCGGAAAGAAAGAUGUGAAAUCCCAGAGCUCAACUUUGGAACUGCAUUUUUAACUACCGGGCUAGAGUGUGUCAGAGGGAGGUGGAAUUCCGCGUGUAGCAGUGAAAUGCGUAGAUAUGCGGAGGAACACCGAUGGCGAAGGCAGCCUCCUCGGAUAACACUGACGCUCAUGCACGAAAGCGUGGGGAGCAAACAGG